UACGAAGGGGGCUAGCGUUGUUCGGAUUUACUGGGCGUAAAGCGCACGUAGGCGGACUAUUAAGUCAGGGGUGAAAUCCCGGGGCUCAACCCCGGAACUGCCUUUGAUACUGGUAGUCUUGAGUUCGAGAGAGGUGAGUGGAAUUCCGAGUGUAGAGGUGAAAUUCGUAGAUAUUCGGAGGAACACCAGUGGCGAAGGCGGCUCACUGGCUCGAUACUGACGCUGAGGACGAAAGCGUGGGGAGCAACAGG
rnacentral:rRNA from 1 species